UUGCUACAUGUAUAAUUGUUUCUUUGCUACAUGUUUGAAUAUGAAUCCCCUUGAUAUCUUGGAUAUUGUAUGGUAUACUUUACUGUCUGACAUGUUACACUUCGAUGUCGGAUGCAUCGGAUGCAGGUUAUGUUAGUUUAGAGGAUUCAUUUUUAAGAAAAUGAGGAAUCCUAUCGUUAUGCAUUAAUUUUUACUUUUUCUAAUGCAUUCUUUGGUUGUGUCUAGGUUCAAAUGGAUACUAGAAUUAUUUUGCGGCUCGGCGUGCAAACGGAGAGGCACCUCAUAGCAAGAGUUGCAGUUCUUUGCGCGCGCGCGUGUGUGUACACUGAAGCCUAUAAUUUGGUAAUCCAUUUACCUGCAGUUGAGAAUGGCGCUUUGCAGUUGUACACAUGUUCUUGAUCCGAUUAAGAUGAUAAUGUUUGAUAUUAUUCAUUGGUCGAUUGGAUCCGUGAAACGAUCAUCAGCCAAAAAAAAAAAAUCUUGAGUGGAAGCAUUUGCCCACACCCUUGAAUGUGGCUCCGCUGCGGGAGCAAGGGAAAGAAGAAAAUAUCAUAGGAAUUGUCUGACAGUAGCCCAUCAUGGCGACUUCAGCUCAAAACUGUGAAGUUUAUAAACCUACAAAAAGAUGUUAGUUCAAAUUACUUAAUACAUAAUAUAGGCAUCCUUACUAUUAAUACUUAUUAGUUAUUUUGACAUAGAAAAUGUAUAAUGGAGCAUCACAAGCGUGACGAUGGAGAAAUACACUCGAUUCUAAUUGUUAGAUUUUGUUUCAUAACGUAAAAAAUGAUGACUUUUCGCU